rnacentral:rRNA from 1 species
CCUACGGGAGGCAGCAGUGAGGAAUAUUGGUCAAUGGGCGCGAGCCUGAACCAGCCAAGUAGCGUGAAGGAUGACUGCCCUACGGGUUGUAAACUUCUUUUCUCAGGGACGAAGCAAGUGACGGUACCUGAGGAAUAAGCCACGGCUAACUACGUGCCAGCAGCCGCGGUAAUACGUAGGUGGCAAGCGUUAUCCGGAUUUACUGGGUGUAAAGGGCGUGUAGGCGGGAAAGCAAGUCAGAUGUGAAAACCAUGGGCUCAACCUGUGGCCUGCAUUUGAAACUGUUUUUCUUGAGUACUGGAGAGGCAGACGGAAUUCCUAGUGUAGCGGUGAAAUGCGUAGAUAUUAGGAGGAACACCAAUGGCGAAGGCGGUCUGCUGGACAGCAACUGACGCUGAGGCGCGAAAGCGUGGGGAGCAAACAGGAUUAGAUACCCUAGUAGUC